rnacentral:rRNA from 1 species
GGUUGAUCCUGCCGGACCCGACUGCUAUCGGAUUGGGACUAAGCCAUGCGAGUCAACUCCGCAAGGGGUGGCGCACGGCUCAGUAACACGUAGUCAACCUACCCUAGGGACGGGGAUAACCUCGGGAAACUGAGGCUAAACCCCGAUAGGCUAUAGCCUCUGGAAUGAGCUAUAGCUGAAAUCUAUAUGGCCCUAGGAUGGGACUGCGGCCGAUCAGGUAGUUGGUGGGGUAAUGGCCCACCAAGCCUAUAACCGGUGCGGGCUCUGAGAGGAGGAGCCCGGAGAUGGGCACUGAGACAAGGGCCCAGGUCCUAUGGGGCGCAGCAGGCGCGAAACCUCCGCAAUGGGCGAAAGCCCGACGGGGUUAGUCCGAGUGGUCCCUGCUGAAGGGGCCUUUUGCCAGCUGUAAAAAGGCUGGCGAAUAAGCGGGGGGCAAGAUCUGGUGUCAGCCGCCGCGGUAAUACCAGCCCCGCGAGUGGUCAGGACGAUUAUUGAGCCUAAAGCGUCCGUAGCCGGCCUUACAAGUUCUCCCUUAAAUGGCACGGCUCAACCGUGUCGCUGGGGGGAAUACUGUAAGGCUAGGGAGCGGGAGAGGCGGGUGGUACUCGAGGGGUAGUGGCAAAAUACGAUAAUCCCUCGAGGACCACCAGUGGCGGAGGCGACCUGCUAGAACGCGUCCGACGGUGAGGGACGAAAGCUGGGGGAGCAAAAGGGAUUAGAGACCCCUGUAGUCCCAGCUGUAAACUAUGCGG